GUUCGGAGGCCACCCGUGCAAGGUUGUCUGAACGUUUAUCCUGUGUCAUUCGUGGCCCACAGAUACUUCAUCGCUCACUGCUGCGCAGUGCAGCUCGGUCCCACCUCCCAACUCUCAGUCGUUCAUCACUCACUCGGUGCCGUCGCGCGAUACCACUCCCAAUCGAUCGGAGCAAAAGAAGCAGCCGCCAGCGUCCGUGAUCAUGGCCUCCCUCGCCCGGAAUUACCGUCGCUGUCUGAUUCAGUGCUUUCCCCGGCCACCCCAUUCGGGUUCCGCCGCCGAUUUCGGCCGCCGCCUCGUCCCCCCGUUGUACCCGAGCCGCGGAGUCCGGCGGCGGCUCGGCACCUCCGGAGGCGGCGGCUCGGCUCGGCCCGAGCUAGACGGGCGCAGCGCGUACGAGCUGCUGGGAGUGGCGGAGACCAGCUCGUUCGCCGAGAUCAAGGCGUCGUUCCGCAGGUUGGCCAAGGAAACUCACCCCGACCUCGCUGGGUCGUCGAACGACGCCGAAACUUGUCGACGAUUCGUUCAGAUUCUUGCAGCUUACGAGAUUCUCUCUGAUGCUGGAAAGAGGGCCCAUUACGAUAGUUAUCUUUUGACUCAGAAAAAGCUAGUACAGAAACUUUCGAAAGAGUAUUCAGUUUCUUAUAUGUACAGAUCGCAUGCAACAGUAUAUAAGGAGAUGGAAGUUGUUGAAUGGUUGAAGUGGUAUAGAUAUGCUAUCAAUGAUAUAUUGUCAGAGAACAAAGUGGUCACAGGAACAGGCUAUUUUGAUAUACUUGAAGGGGACUUCUAUUCAGCAAUACGUGCCGCAUAUUAUGGUCCUUGGAUUGAUUCACUGGAUCUUCUUCCCGACUGCUUUGAAGCCGAGGAGCGGUCUUUGCUUGAAACUCCGGAGGUAUUGCACUUGGUUUCGGGCCGAUAUCUCUUUGGUAUGGUCUGUCUGGUCAACAAGAUUCCCGAAUUAUCAUCUGCCUUCCAUGAGAAGUUAAAUUCUUAUCAAUCUGUGGGUCUUGGUGAGUGUUAUAUGAGAAAUAAUACAGACACUUCCAUCAAUUAUGGAAUGCAAGCAAAUGCUGAUAUUUCUCAGACAGAGACCAGUUGUACAAAUUAUGCAUCUGAUGCAUAUAAAGACCUGGAGUUACAUAUAUCUGGAAGAGUAGUGGCCAAAGCAACAAGAUUACCUCCUCAAAGCUGUUGCAACGGAAUCAGGAACGAUGAUGCUGAUGAUCGCAUAUAUGUCUUUCUCAAUUCACAUAAGGACUGCAUGGAUAAUAGCCAAGAGUAUCUUUCCUCUAUAAGCUGCGGAGUUGGGUCAACUCCACUGGGAACAAUAGUAGGACUGGGGACCAGCCCAGAAGAAGGAACAUGCUUCGUUUAUGAUAGCAGUGGCACGAAAACCCAUGUGAUAAUGAAACACAGAACAUUUCUGGUGAAGCAUAUGCACUGGUAUCAAUGCGGAGAUAAGAUUUCCGUUUGUGAGUGCAGAAGUACUAGGGCCCGGCUACCCCCUAGCAAGUUUUGGCUGUUUCAGCCAAGGUGUGCGAUGCAUGAUAUUGGGGGCUGGUAUGUUGAAACAUUUGGAAGAGAUGAGAAAAGAAAAACAGUUCCAUCCCAGAGGUACUGGGAUGGUUCUGAUGUGGAGGGACAAUUUGACAAGAGACUCCACCCCGCGGUGUAUCUGCUUGCUCUUGCUUAUAGAACAUUAGAUAUUGAAGAUGUUAAGAGAAGGAAACAAACAGUCAGAGGUGUUGUGGAAGGACAACUCUUUAGACUUCUCAGUUGGUGCAAGAAGCUUGUCUAAAAGUUCACUUUUGGGUCCUAAACCUCUCCUUGGAUCAACAUAAGCUACAAAGAGCAAGCUUGCAAUAUUUUGGCCUAAAGAAGACACAGAACUGCUGGCUUGCUUUAGAAAGCUGACUGUUGGGAUGUCAAUCAAUCUGAUCCCAGUAGGGCAGCCUCUUGUGAUCUGAAAAUGAUGGUUGAUCACUGCAUGUCCAUUUUGAUGGAAUAGAUGUCAAAGGAGAUUUGUAUGAUCGAUGGAUAUCUGUAGGACAUCUAAAGUGUCUUAUGCCUGAUACCAUGCUAAAGCAAAGUCAGACGAUUUUCGAAGUUCAAAGUUCCGGAUUACACUUCUGCGUGUGCACUAAGGCAUGUGCAAGACAACCUGCAGAAACCUACAGAGCCUGUGGAACCUGCAUGUUCAGGUAGACCUGUAUGCCUCAGUUGCUCCGCCGAGCUUACCGUUUGGAUCUUUGUCUUAUGCAUGGUACCAUGCUAAAGCAAAGUCAUGCGAUUUUCGAAGUUCAAAGCUCUGGAUUACAUUUCUGCAUGUGCACUAAGGAAUGUGAGAGACAACCUGCAAAACCUACAGAGCCCGCAGAACCUGCAUGUUCAGGUAGACCUGUAUGCCUCAGUUGCUCCACCGAGCUUACUGUUUGGAUCUUUGGGAUACCGGGUAACUCUUAUAUUGGCCUUAUGAGAGAACCUCGUCAUAUCUUAAAAGUGCUGGUAUAUCACACUUCAUACAAAUCAAAUGGCGCAUAGAAGGAGGUCCGUUUCUGUGGUUCGUUGACCCGAUGGAAUCACAAACAUCUGUGGUAUGUUAUUUAUGCUUCUUGCAACUGACAAGCAAAUUUAUGUGACUGCUUCACACUUUAUCUGAAGUUUGGAUCAAGCAUCAUUACUCUGCGAAUUGGAAUAUCAUGGACUAAGAGGUAAACGUGUGCACUGAGAUAUGGAUGUGGCUGUUGUCUGAUGUUGGUUGGUCAAGGAGGAGACUCACUAAUGAAGGUCUUAGUUGAACUUUGCCGAUCUUUGAAGCCAGAAGUUCGAUGAGCUCUACUAGUUCACAAAAUUUAUUUUACUGGGCACCUUGGCUCAUAAGGUAACACCACUUUGCCCGGUCUUUUGUGUCCUUUUUUAUUUCAGAUAUAGCUUAUGGAAAACUCUAUCUAACUUGGACAAGGCUUUAAUGGUGGAAGGAUCAUGGCGGCAUUCUUACCAUCCUCUAUCUUGUGCAACAAGUCUUAUCAACUGUUGGUGCCAAGUUUUUCUCUUGCAUAAAGAAGAUCGAGCAAGUCGAAAGUAAAUGCCUAACUUUUUUUGCUCUGGAAGGGCAAAUCAGAAGGUGGGAGAGGGGCUAAAGUCACUUCAGAUAAUGUAUGUUUACCAAAAUAUGAGGGUGGUUUGGGAUUGAGGAGAAUUUAAUCCAUGGAAUCUGUUGAAGUAUAUACAGUGGUGUUUGUCAGUAAUUAAUAGGUGAGUCUUAAUCAAAAUAAAUAAGAUUUUUGAGCA